rnacentral:rRNA from 1 species
GGAUAGCAGCUCGAAAGGGCUAUUAAUACUCCAUAGGUUUAUAAACUAAAUUAAAGAGGCUCCUCUGGGGCCUUGCGUAAAACUAGGAAUAUGUCCUAUUAGGUAGUUGGCGGGGUAAAGGCCCACCAAGCCAAUGAUGGGUAGCUGGACUGAGAGGUUGAACAGCCGCAAUGGGAUUGAGAUAUGGCCCAUAUUCCUACGGGAAGCAGCAGUGAGGAAUUUUUCACAAUGGACGAAAGUCUGAUGGAGCAAUACCACGUGAACGAUGAAGGUCUUCUGAUUGUAAAGUUCUUUUAUUUAGGAAAAAAAGCGUGCUAGGAAAUGAGCGCGCCUUGAUGGUACUAAUUGAAUAAGUGACAGCUAACUAUGUGCCAGCAGCUGCGGUAAAACAUAGGUCACGAGCAUUAUCCGGAUUUAUUGGGCGUAAAGGAAGCGUAGGCGGGGAGGUUGAUCCAUUGUUAAAAGCAUUUGCUUAACAAAUGUGUGCAUUGGAGAUCGCCUCCCU